GUGUCAGCAGCCGCGGUAAUACCGGCAGUCCGAGUGAUGGCCGAUCAAAUUGGGCCUAUAGCGUCCGUAGCUGGCUGAACAAGUCCCUUGGGUUAUCUGUCCGCUUAACGGGCAGGCGUCCAGCGGAAACUGUUCAGCUUGGGACCGGAAGACCUGAGGCCUACGUCUGGGGUACCAGUGAAAUCCUGUUUUCCUGGACGGACCGCCGGUGGCGAAAGCGCCUCAGGAGAACGGAUCCGACAGUGAGGGACGAAAGCUAGGGUCUCGAACCGGAUUAGAAACCCCCGUAGUCC
rnacentral:rRNA from 1 species